ACUGUGCUAAGGUAGCGAAGUCAUUUGUUUUUUUAUUGGAAACUUGUAUGAGGGGAUUUAUGGAGUAGAUUAUUUGAAAAUUUUAUAUUUAGGAAUUUGAUAUUUGGAUGAAAAUUUCUAAUUUUUCUUAAAGACGAGAAGACCCUAGAAUCUUUAUUUUCAUAAUUAGGGUGAAUUUUUAUUUGGGGGAAAGUUUUAUAUUUAUAAAAAGAUUUGUUAUUUUGAACUUUUUAAGGUUGGUAGGAUAGAUACUUUAGGGAUAACAGGAUAAUUUUCUUUUGAAGUUCUUAUUUUGGAGGAAGUUUAUUACCUCGAUGUUGGCUUUUGA
rnacentral:rRNA from 1 species